AAGUUUGAUCCUGGCUCAGAUUGAACGCUGGCGGCAGGCUUAACACAUGCAAGUCGAGCGGUAGCACAGGGGAGCUUGCUCCUUGGGUGACGAGCGGCGGACGGGUGAGUAAUGUCUGGGAAACUGCCUGAUGGAGGGGGAUAACUACUGGAAACGGUAGCUAAUACCGCAUAACGUCGCAAGACCAAAGAGGGGGACCUUCGGGCCUCUUGCCAUCAGAUGUGCCCAGAUGGGAUUAGCUAGUAGGUGGGGUAAUGGCUCACCUAGGCGACGAUCCCUAGCUGGUCUGAGAGGAUGACCAGCCACACUGGAACUGAGACACGGUCCAGACUCCUACGGGAGGCAGCAGUGGGGAAUAUUGCACAAUGGGCGCAAGCCUGAUGCAGCCAUGCCGCGUGUGUGAAGAAGGCCUUCGGGUUGUAAAGCACUUUCAGCGAGGAGGAAGGUGGUGAACUUAAUACGUUCAUCAAUUGACGUUACUCGCAGAAGAAGCACCGGCUAACUCCGUGCCAGCAGCCGCGGUAAUACGGAGGGUGCAAGCGUUAAUCGGAAUUACUGGGCGUAAAGCGCACGCAGGCGGUUUGUUAAGUCAGAUGUGAAAUCCCCGGGCUCAACCUGGGAACUGCAUUUGAAACUGGCAAGCUAGAGUCUCGUAGAGGGGGGUAGAAUUCCAGGUGUAGCGGUGA
rnacentral:rRNA from 1 species